UUUGCAUGUGAAUGUUUUGGGGGUUCUACCCUUGGCGUUCCUGUAUAAGUUGACAUAUAUUUCUUGUUCUUAUCCUGCAGAUAACUGAUUUAUAGCACAAUCAUUCUGUGAAAAACCACUUUGGUUCUUAACACUCUUUGGUGUGAAGUGCACUUUAAGAAUCAUGGCAUUUCCAGGGCUCCAAGUUUUAACUGUGAAGGUCAGUGCCUCCUUUUUAAUCCUCAAGAUUGAUUUUUUUAUAGCUUGGUGAAAUAUGACAUGCUUCUCCUACUUCCCCCUCCUUCCUGUGCCUCUUCCCCUGCCAGUUUUUUUCUAGUUCUCCUGGCAUCUGGACAUCUAUUUCUACCAAGUGAGUCAGUUAGAGAGGAAGUGUUUAACCUACAUUUUUCAUCUCAGCUGGGAAAAGAGGUUUGAAGACAAAAGGUGCCUGGGAUAUGUUGCAGUAGGACUCCACACAGCCCACUUGACCCUCUCCUGAGAACCACACUGGGUUCGAAUUAGAAAAUGUCAAGCGAUCCAUUUCUACUACGCAUACACUCCACAAGAUCGAUACUUACAUUAGAACUUUUUUUUCUUUGAGGAAAGGAAUGGAAACAUUUGUAUGUGUGUAUUUCUUAGUGCCCAGUCUCCCUUCACAAAGAAUUGGAGGUUUUACAAACACAAACGAUACAAUCGGGUUAAGAGUGAAAAGAAAAAUAUAUACAUUAAAAAUAAAGGAAAUAAAACAACUAAAAAAAAAAACCCUUCUAAUUUAAAAAAAAGUAAAGGACAAGGAGAAAUAUACGGGUAGGAUUAUAAGGUGAAAAUGAAUUGUAUCCUGGCAUACAGUGGCUCCUAUCUGCUAAGUGUACAUUGUUUAUCAGGCAUUAACAUUAUUGAGUCAAACAUAUGAAACUGUCACUCUUUGGAAUCUGUUUAGAUUUUAUAGAUGCAGGAACUGAGGCUUGGGGAGGUGUAUUCAUUCAAUUCUACAAUGACGGAACUAAGAUUUGAACCCUGUGGUAGACUCAUCAAGACCAUAACCGCUAUAACCUCUAUAGCUUGUUUUUUUGGCGGACGUAUUUCUUAUUAAUGGUAAUGCACCGUAGUAUCUCAGCAAAUGUACAGAUAGCUUAGCUUCAUUUAACUAGUCAUGUUUUCUUCCCAACCAUCCAUGCUUCAGAACUGGAAUAGGUUGGAGAAACAGUAAUUUUUGGGUGCUGGUGACGGUUGUGCUGGUGAGGAAGUGGAAAAUACACAGGCUCUCCUUGCUCUUUGCCACAAUGCAGGUCAAAAAGUAGUUCUAAAGUUAACUUUGGGGGUUGUAUUCAUCACCAAAAACUUGGUGUUAAAUAAACCACAUAGACCCAGUAAAAUGCCAUAAAAGGGAAGAUAAAACACUAUAAAAUUUUACCAUUAUAUAAAUUGCUCAAAAUUGUGAUCUGAGCUCUUUAAAAAUGCUCAUAAAUCACUGUACACAUUCAUUAAACAAUAUAUAUACAUGCAGUAAAGCACCACUACAGUAUAGUAUCACCAACUGGACCUAAAAUGAAUUCUCCAGUUAUAUUAAAUAGUAAACAUUUAACAGGUAGUCAUUUUGUUUGCACUGGACUUAGAACUUCGAAACAAAAUUGAGGAAAGCCUGACUAACACAGGUCUCUUGAGAAAGCUUUAAGCUUCUUUGAACAGUUUCUUUUCCCCCAGAUAAGUUUUCCUAUAGCAAAUGGAAGCCAUCAGAAUGAUGACCUAGACCUUAAAGUUACCUCAAAGUACUGUAACUUGUCUAUUUGAGAGUUUAUUGAGCUAAAUUGUAGUGGUAAUUCAGUAAAAAUGUGCUCAUUCCCUAUUAUGUCUCAGACACUAUGCUGGGAACUUUAUAUCAUUUUUGUUUAAUUUUAACGGCAACUUCAUGAGACGUGAUUCCCAUUUUAGAGACUAAGAAGCCUAAAAAAUGUCAAAGAAGUAAAAUAAUUUGCCCAAGGCCACAUCAAUGAGGGAACCAGAACUUGAACCCAGUAUUUUCCCUUUAAGAGACUUUGGGAUUCAACUUUGCUGUGGUUAGACACUGUGGAUGAAACACUGAGUUGGAAAUUUCACAGAUGAGAGUUCCAGACUUAUGGUGAAAAUAUUAGAAACCUUUCCUGAGUCAGUGGUGCUUUCUAGGACGAAACUGGAGAUACCUACUUGGAAUGUAUCUAAUUCCAAAGAAACCAUCUGAGAAUUCUUCCUUCAUAUGGCUCUCUGUGUGUCACCCUCCAGUGACCGCCUGCUCUUACACAAGGGGAUACUCAGGGACUGGCCUACAGACCAGCCAGAGCACGUGGGCCAACUUGUAACAGCAAAGCAAGAUGCUGAAAGCCUGAGUAGGGGCAGAGGAGAAAUAUGAAUUCCUUUUCAGAGCCAGUAUGGUUCUAAUUAAGAUCAAGGGCCCUGAAGUCAGACAGACCUGAGUUUGAAUCUUGGUUCUAACAAUAAAGUUGUGCAUACAUUUAGGCAUAAUGUAUAAUGUUAUGAGAAACCAUCUAUUUCACAGGACUGUAAUAAAGAGAAAGGGAAAUCAUGUCUGCAGAGUGCUUCAUAGAGUGGCCACAGAGAGUAAGCAUUUAAUAAUCAAUACCCCCCCCAAAAACACCCACAAAAAAGUAGCCAUCGUUAAAAGAAAAAUUGUUAUUUUUUCCUCAAAAUCUUUUGUUUCUGGUCUCCUAGUGCUUGUGAAAGUCAGUUUUGUAUAGACUCCAUGACAGGGCUGUGGAGGAGAAAAAUGAUCUGAACAAUCAAGACAACAAUGAAUCAACCCUCCUUUCCCCUAAAACCAAGGGAGGCGUUUUUUGCUUUAAAAUAUCCAUAUUGUCCAUAUCACUUAACUUAGGUAAUUGUCAAAUCUACACUUGACUUUUAUGCAACUAGAAAAUAUUUGAAAAAUUGUAUGCAUUGCACACAAACACAAAUAUGUGUGUACUUUUUACAGCAUUUUAUUCAUCUGUUCUCUCCUAUGACUUUCCCUACAACCCUGUGCGGUAUGUUUUAUAUAUUAUCCCGUUUUAUGGUUAAAGAAAAACGGAACACAGAUGAGCAUCCUCGCUGGGCCAAAGACCUUGUACAUGAUUGAGGUUAGAGUUGGGUUGUUCCUGACCCCUUUUCACUUCUCCCUCUGUACUGCUCUGAGGACUGGAGUGAAAUGUACUACAACUUGGCUGACCAAAGAAGUCCCAGCUGAAAGGUAAUCAAAGGAGAGGAAUCCUUGGAAGCAGAAUGUCUGAAAUCCAGUUAAAAGUUAAAACGCUGUUGGGGAUUGACAGCUGGCAUUGCUGUCACUGCCCCGUCUAGCCACUUUACAAAUAGCAAGGAUGUUAGCAAGAGCUUGCUGUAUGUGAACGCUUCCCAAGUAAGCAGCGAUUGCUUUGGCUGGAUUCUGCUCUGCUGUUUGCUGGCAUGAGGAGCCUGUAGUCAGACAAUUGGAGGCGGCAACCAUUUUCUAAAAACCACCUGAGGCUUUUGGCACCUAAUUUUCUGGCACUGACUAGGAAAGCUUUUUCUUUAUGCCACUUCAUUCUACUUGUCUAAUUUUGCUGGGAAAUCUGAUCCUGCCAGUCCAAUCAGUCACCUCAGUGGGAUCCAUUGUACACCCUGCAAAGUGCUCAAGAAGGGUUCUGAUCAUGCCUGACAGGCAAACGGCAGAGAGAAGUUUUGAAAAACGGCCCCAUUUUCACAGCUUUUUCCGUCGUCUGUGGUUCCAUGGUGUUUGAAAUCAGGAUGUGGUCCUGAGUUAAUGACAUAAGGAAACACUUGGCUGGUCAAAUUGCCUACUUGGCUUUCCUGAACCUCACAUGGACUGCCUUCAUCCUGUUUCAAAGGCUCGAGCACUCUCCAUUCGUUCCUCUCCACUUUCUGUGCAGGCCUUCCUCUGGUUUGUGGGCUAAGCGCUUCAUCUUGUUCCUUCAAGCUGCAGACCCAGCCACCCAUAAAAGAAACCUUUUGUGGAUGGCUUCUGCUACCUGCUUAUCAUCCAGCCUCAAUCUCAGGCUGUCUUUCCCUAUUUUGAAACCUGAAGCAGUAGUUCUUCUCCAAUUUGUCUAUAGCUUUUUCUUUCAACUCUUUCCUCUUCAUGGUAAUUAAACAGGAGUUGUGCUCCUUGUCUAACCUUUGACUUUGGAAUUCCUUUGUUCCUAAAGAGUUACGUUUACGAGAUUAACGUAAAUAUGUUAAACUUGGUAUUGAUCUGAUGACUUCGUAAACUACAGAUUCCUUGACGGUUAAGGCUUUUACAAAAAAGCUUGCUUAAAAUCUCUGUUAAUCUACCUGAAUUUCCUUCUAAAGGCAGUUACGUACAACACCUCUUAAAACUAAUUCUCCAAAUUUGCAGUUUGGCAGCUUCCUAAAGGGACUCUGGAGGGUUAAUACACCAUGGGGAUUAGAUCUUCAUAUGAGAUGUACAAAAGCCCCACCUACGUAAAUACUACUGAAUUCAAGGAAGGUUAGAGAUUUUUGUUUAUCUAUGAGAGGAAGGAGACCCAUAAAAUGCAACUUUUGGGCCAGUUACUGCAGAGAGCUUUCUUCCUCUAGAUUAUAUUAUAUUCACAUAAAAACAAUGGCAGCAAUUUGUUUUUAGCCUGCAUAUACCAUGGUCAUUUCUUAUCUGAGUAGAUACGAUGGCCUUACAGAUUUGAAAGAUUUCAUCAGCUGCUACUGGGAAGUUUUUUCUUGAGUUAAGAUCCUGUGAAGCUUUGACCUUGACAUUUCACUAGCUGCAGAUUGUAAUGAAAGCUACUUCAGUCUGGGGAUAAAUGAUGUCUUUGGUCCUCACAGCAUGGUGGGGCACUGGUAGCCAGAAAAAGGGAAUAUCCUUAUUCAUAUUUCUGACUUUCCCACAAACUCAUAGCAUUUAUUGAAAGGCUUAUUGCCUCACCUACUAAAAAUACAAAUAUUAAGUUUUUACCAACCAAGAAAUAAAGUUAUAAGCAUUUCAUUACUUUUUCUAGUACCCUUGAAGUUGUGUGGUCUGGGGCUUCCUGAAGGCAUGAACUGUAUUGGAUUCAGUUACUGUCUGAUCUCUAGAGCCUUACACUUUACCCGGAACAGAGUCAAUCCAAAAACCAAACCCGUUGCCAUCAAGUCGAUUCUGACUCAUAGUGACCCUAUAGAACAGAGUAGAACUGCCUCAUAGAAAUCCCCAGCGCUGGUGGAUUUGAACUGCCAACCUUUUGGUUAGCAGCUGACCUCUUGACCACUGUGCCACCAGGGCUCCUGGUACAUAGUAGGCACUCAAUAAAUAUUUGUUGAAUGAAUGAAAAGAUAGAACCAGAGUAAUAUUUUAGUGGCCUAACUAUAUACUUUCAGGAUAAUGGAGUCCUUGAAAAGGGACAGUGAUGACAAGUUUCUAGAAGGAGAUGAAUGGCAUAUUCAACGCUUCCCAAGAAGAAAGAAUUGAGCGUCUAUCACGUCUAUCUAGGUUUUCAGUUACAGAAGCAUUGAGAAUUCCCUGUGGCUGAAUACGGGUGAAUCUUUAAGGCAAGUUGAAGGCCUAGGCUGCCCUAGUGGAUAUCAAUACUCCCACGGAGUAUUUUCCAUGAAGAAAAGUGUGGGCUUCGUGUCUUUUCAUCAAAACGUCUAGAAUUUGGCUGACGGCCUGGCUUUUCCCAGGACAUUAGUCAGGCCACAAAUCCCACAUUUGUUUAUUCAGCUCACAGCAAGUGAAUGCUGCCAUUCUCCCAUCUCCUUUGUUAGCAGAUGCUUUGUUAACCUGAAUUGAGCUCUAUAUCACAAAGUGAGAUGACUAAUCUUUUGGGGGUUUCCCCCCUCCCAGGCUCUUGUAAUGAGCAACUAAGUCUGUAGACCACAAAGCCCAAUGCUGUAGUUUUUUUUUUUUUUUUCUUAUUCUGCUCUUUUAUUUUGAUGGUUCUACAUUGCACUUAAAGAAACCAAUACCUUCCAUAGUGUGGUCGAACUGGCGCCACCAUUUAGAAGAGGAGAUUACUAGACUUUAUAGUGUUUCAAGACAAUGCUAAUGGCAAAGGGAGGUUAGGUUGAUCAUAUUUAGGUAGUCUUCCACCCUGCAUUUGCAAUAGUCGUCACCUUGCAUUCUCAGAAAGUUUUCAAGCUCUGAAUAUUUGGGUGUGAAAGUGCCAGAAGGAGGAGUUGUCACACUUAAAAAUCAGUUUGGCUGAUCACAGAGUUAAUAAUAUAUGAUGGAUCUGGAAUAUGAAGCUAAACAGAAUACAUGUUCUUAAUCAUUAGGCUGUUUGUCUAUGUGCAGAUAUCUGUGAAGACUUAGACUUAUAAAAGUUCGAGAAUUUAUGUCAUGGAAUUGCCAUUGACCAUGAAACAGUAAUUAGUUUUGGAAGACAAUUGUGAUGCAACAUAGUGGAAAAUAGAAAAAGAGAUAAAGGAAAUCAUAAAGCAUAAUGUUUUUGGCAAAGUGAUAAAGAGAUUGUCCUUAGAAGAUACUUUUCCAAUGUUGAGUUCCAUAUUUCUGGAUUUGAUUCUAUGAAAAUCUUUAUUGAACACCUACUUCAUGCAAGAUACUCUGCUACAUUACGAGGGGUGGGAACCUAUAAUACAGUUCAAAUUGGUUACAGGAAGGAUGAAGAAAGAAUAAGCAUAAAAACAGUAAAAAGCAGAAUAAAAUAUAGUAUACAAUGGGUUAUGGAAUAUUAUAGAAGCACAGAGCAUUUUUUAUUAGUGCAGCCGGCAAAUGCAUUACAAAGGUAAUGACAUUCUUACUGAGUCUUGAAGGAUAUAUGGGAUUUUGAUAGGUGAGAGGGUAUUCCAAUGCAAAAGAAUAAUAACAGCAAAAUCCCAAUGGUGAGAAACUGUAGGGAAAUUGUAAGCAUUGCCACUUAAGACAGACCAAAAAACCCAUUGCCACUGAGUCAAUUCGGACUCAAUAGGAACCCUAUAGGACAGGGUAGAACUCCCCGUAGGGUUUCCAAGGCUGUAAUCUUUAUGGAAGCAGACUGCAAUCUUUAUGGAAGCAGACUGCCACAUCUUUCUCCCAUGGAGUGACUGGUUGGUUUGAACCACUUAAGAUAAAAAAACAAGGAUGAUUGGUUUAUAUUGUGCAUGGUGAGCAGCAUGGACACAGUUGACCAUUUCCUCUUCCUUGAACCACUGUUUUCUCCAGAGUCUUCCUGGCUUUGCUCCAGCCGCACAGGCCACUGCUUCUCAGCCUCCUUUUCUGGGCCCUCUUCUUCAGCCUGAACUCUAUAUGUCAAAGGACUUUAGAAUCAGUUUCUAGCUUUCUUCUCUAUACUUUCUCCUAAGUUGCUAUCAUAUUUUAAAAUACUACUUAGAUGCCAGUGACCUCCAGAUUGGUGUCUUUUCCUAUGGCCCUUGACCUGAAUUCCAGACUGUAUAUUAAACUGUCUGCUCAACAUCUUUACUUGAAUGUCUAAAUUCCUAUCCCCAAAUCAGAAGUCUUGAUUCUUUGCUUCUCAACUUUGCUGGAAAUUCUGCUUUUCUACCAGUCUCCAUCAUGGUAGAUAAUGGGCACCCAUCUACCCAGUUGUACAAGCUCUUCCCCAAAUUAGGAGUUAUUCUAGAUUUGGUUCUUUCUCUCAUCCUUAACAUCUAAUAACAAAUUAUUUUCAGUGACCCUCUACCCCAGCCCAAAAAGGUGACUACUGUUUUUUUUAUUAUGUCUAAAUGUACUAAUAUAUGCCUCUAAAUGUAUGUGCAUGAAUUACUUUGAUAAAAAUAAAAAUAAAUGAACAAGAUUAUUUUUACAGAGAUUGUCUCUUAAUUCCAUUCUGUAAAU